rnacentral:rRNA from 1 species
UUCGCAAUGCCCGAAAGGGUGACGAAGCGACGCCGCGUGCGGGAAGAAGGCCUUCGGGUUGUGAACCGCUGUCGGGAGUUAAGAAAUGCAAGGGUGUUAACAGCAUCCUUGCUUGACUAAGGCUCCGGAGGAAGCCACGGCUAACUCUGUGCCAGCAGCCGCGGUAAUACAGAGGCGGCAAGCGUUGUUCGGAAUUAUUGGGCGUAAAGAGCACGUAGGCGGCUGUGUAAGUCGGUUGUGAAAGCCUUCCGCUCAACGGGAGAACGGCAUCCGAUACUGCAUGGCUUGAGUGCGGGAGGGGAGAGUGGAACUUCUGGUGGAGCGGUGAAAUGCGUAGAUAUCAGAAGGAACACCGGCGGCGAAGGCGACUCUCUGGCCCGUAACUGACGCUGAGUGUGCGAAAGCUAGGGGAGCAAACGGGAUUAGAUACCCCGGUAGUCCUAGCCGUAAACGAUGGGCACUAAGUAGAGGGGUUUU